AAUUAUAUGUCUGGCAUGCCCAUGCAAGCACAUGAUUUUGCUCUAUCAAUAAAUAUUGUAAUUAAACCUUUUUAUGCCACCCUUCUUUCAUCAUAUUCCAACUUAUUUGCUCUGAUAUAAGCUAGAUUUAACAUCUUCAGGCCCAGAAAUUAGGAUUCAAGAUUUGCCUCAUUGAAAACCGGUCAGGAGUUCAUGUUCACAAUCAAGCAGUGACCCCUUCUACUACUUGAGGGAUUCAGCAAAGACCAUCAACGGUACAGUCAAAGUUGAACAUGAAAACAAGGCGCUCUGCCAGUGUGCGUGCAUGAUCCAAUAGCAUGUGUUUAAUAGUAGCCACUAUGAUGUGAAAUACUAGCAGCUUCCUCCAUUUAUGCCAGUAUUUGAUAUACUUACCAAAGUUUAAGGGCGCCAAUCUUAAGAAGACAUCCCGGUUUGUGAGAAAAUUUCUUAUGCGUAUUAGACAAAAGAUGUAUCUAAUUUUCCUUAGGUUGCAUUGCAACACAUCAGUUUUUGCUAUUGGUUCUUUUACCAUAAAAUUUGUAAGGUCCCUUAUGUUUGAUUUAUUGUAUAAAUCAUUUGAGACAUGCCCUGCAUGCAUGAUUACUCACUAUAUUUAUGUUCAUCUGAUAUUAUGUUCAUGAAUCA